rnacentral:rRNA from 1 species
AGUGAACGCUGGCGGUAGGCCUAACACAUGCAAGUCGAACGGCAGCACAGUAAGAGCUUGCUCUUACGGGUGGCGAGUGGCGGACGGGUGAGGAAUACAUCGGAAUCUACUUUUUCGUGGGGGAUAACGUAGGGAAACUUACGCUAAUACCGAAUAUCACCCACGGGGGAAGGCAGUGGAUCUUCGGACCUUGGCGGUUUGAUUGAGCCGAUUCCGGAUUGGCUAGUUGGGGGGGUAAAGGCCCACCAAGUCGACGAUCCGUAGCUGGUCUGAGAGGAUGAUCAGCCACACUGGAACUGAGACACGGUCCAGACUCCUACGGGAGGCAGCAGUGGGGAAUAUUGGACAAUGGGCGCAAGCCUGAUCCAGCCAUCCCGCGUGGGUGAAGAAGGCCUUCGGGUUGUAAAGCCCUUUUGUUGGGAAAGAAAAGCAGCAGGUUAAUACCCCGCUGUUCUGACGGUACCCAAAGAAUAAGCACCGGCUAACUUCGUG